rnacentral:lncRNA from 1 species
UAUAUAUAUAUAUAUAUAUAUAGAGCAGGGCUGCUGUGCUCUCGGAGCACGGAGGCCUCCGUGCUCCUGAGCCGUUUUCGAUGAUGGAGUUUUCGAAUCGACGAUCGGCUCCGUUAAACUUGAUCUAGCGUAUUUAAAGUUUCUAGAAAAUAAUUUUUGCGAUUUUUCAAUAUCAUUUACCUAGCAAUCGAAAGGAUUCAAAAUCAAUAAUUUUUAAUGGCUGAAAAUAAAAAUCCUAUAAAAAGUGGUGAUAUAGCACUAAAAUUUUCGAUCAGAAAUAUAGAUCUUGUUGUAGCUAGUAUAAAGAAUUUUCUAUCAAAAUUUCAUCUGAUUUGAAUACUUCUACACCGUUAAACUUGAAAACGGCAGAUAUCAACCAUUAAAAAUUAUAGAUUUUGAAUCCUUUCGAUCACUAGGUAAAUGAUAACGAAAAAUCGCAAAAAUUAUUUUCUAGAAACUUCAAAUGCACUAGCAUCAAGUUAACGAGCCGAUCGUCUGAUUCAAAAAUUCCAUCACCGGAAACGGCUCAGGAGCACGGAGGCCUCCGUGCUCCUGAGAGCACGCAGCCUGCUCAUAUAUUAUAUAUAUAGAACUAGACUGGCGAUACUAUUAAUAGCACCAAGUCGUUGGUGCUAUUUGUUUUUUAGCUUUUUGGAUUGAGAAAGUACGAUUAGGAGUAUAUGCCCCUAGGGUGAGGGUCGGGUGUUAAAUGUAUAAUCUAGACGGAUAAAAUUAAUCAAAGGAUUAAUCUAACGGUAGAAACUCGAUGACGAUAACAAAUUCUUGGUGCUAUCCGUAGUACCCAGCCGCAGACUCUUAUAUAUUAUAUAUAUUAUAUUAUAUAUAUAUAUAUAUAUUAUAUAUUAUAGUAUAUAUAUAUAUAUAUAAUAUAUAUAGUGUGAGGCUACUAUACUUCUGGAAGCAUGGAGCUUCCAUGCUUCCAGGUCGUUUUCCAUCUUGCGACUCCGCGUUAAACUGAUCUAGAGUAAUUUGAAGUAUCUAGAAAAUAAUUAGCCGAUGUUUUCGAUAUUAUUUGCCUAGUGAACGAAGGGGCUCAAAAUCAACGGCUGAAUAAAAUUUACAAAACGUGAUAUAUGACAUUAAAAUUUUAGACAAGAUAUUGAUCUUGUUUUAUAUAGUAUAUAGAACUUUUUAUCAAAAUGUCACGUGAUUUGGAUAUUUCCACAUUAAAUUGCCAACGGCUCACUACGGCCAUUAAAAUUAUUGAUUUGAGGCCUUCGAUCACUAGGCAAAUGAUAUCGAAAAAUCAUAAAUUUAUUUUCUAGGCACUCAAUAUCUAGAUUAAUAUUUAACAGAGAGCGAUCGACGAAUUCGAAAAGUCGGCAACAUCGAAAACGACCUAAAAGCACGGAAGGCUUCGUACUUCCAAAAGUAUAGUAGCCUCACACUUUAUAUAUAUAUAUAUUAUAUUAGUCCGGCUAUUAUGCUAUUAAUGCACGAGGCACUUGGUGCUACCAAAUUUUCCGCCGUGGAUCUACCCUUUUGAUCAUUUUCACACGUUAGAUCAUACUAUUCAACUAACCACCCACUCAACCCUAGAGGACCCACAUCAUCCUAACCGCCACAUCUCUUAAUCCAAUGGCACAAAACUUGGGUGCACCAAUGACUUGUGCUAUUAAUAGAUAGUAGCCUAGUUUAUAUAUAUAUAUAUAUAUAUAUUAUAAUUAUAUAUAUAUAUAUAUAUAUAUAUAUAUAUAUAUAAUAUUACCAACGUCCUAGAGUAAGUGGCAAGGGCUUUGGUGGUUGGUACCCGAGACCGAGUUCGAAUCCCAGUUAAUUCCAUUUCUCCAGCUAAGUUUUAUUUCUAAAUGAAAUAAACGAAGUGUGUAGCAUGCUACCUAUUCUCAAAUAUAAUAUAUAUAUAUAUAUAUAUCUAUAUAUAUAUUAUAUAUAUAUAUAAUAUAUAUAUAUAUAUAUAUAUGUGUGUUGUGUGUGUGUGUGGCUGUGUGGUGUUUUUAAGCUUUACUAUGUGAAGGCCCGCGCUCCGCGGCGGAAAAUUUACGCAAUUUUUUAAAAUAUUUUAAACAAUUUUUUUUUUUAUUUUUAAAUUUAAUUUAAAAUUUUAAAACUUACAAAAAAAUAAAUAUACAAUAAUAUAAUAAUAAAUAAUAUAUUUAUAAUAAAAUUAUAUAUAUAUAAAAAGUUAAAAUUAAAAUUUUAAAAAUUAAAUUUUAUGCUAUAAAAUUUAAAUAUUAAAAUGGUAAAAUUCUCUCUCCCUCUCUCUCUCUCUUUCUCUCCUUUCCUGACUCCCUUUUUCUCUCUUUCUCUUCCCCUCUCUCUCUCUUCUCUCUCUCCCCCGCACGCUUUCUCUUUUCCGUCUCUCUCUCUCCCCUUUCCCCCCUCAGGUGCUAGCCCCUGCGUCCGCUCCGCUGCCACGCCCGCGCCGCGCGCCCCCGCUGCUGCCCACCGCGGCUCCGCUCCCACUGCCGCCUGCUGGCCGCUUCGACUCCGUCCCCCACUGCCGCCUGCUGGAGGAGAGGGGAAAGAGGAGAGAAGAGCGGGAGGAGGAAAAGAGGGAGAGAGAGGAGGGAGGAGGGAAGGGAGAGAGGGAGAGAGCCGUGGGGGGAGGGAGAGGUAAGAGAGAGGGGGGAGGGGAAGAGCGUGUGCGGGGGCGCGUGCGAUCGGACACCCCGUCGCGGCCCGCAACCGCCGGCGCGGGUCCGCGCCGUGGAGAGAGAGGGGGGAGGAGGGAGAGAGGAGCGCGGGAGAGAGAGUGGGGAGAAGAGAGAUGAGAAAGAGAAGAGAGAGAGAAUGAGAUGUCAUGCCCAACCGCACGGCCGAAAACCGGUACCAAUUUGGUCAUUUCGCGGGCGCGGGCGUGAUGCCGAACGGACAGAGUCUCCCUCUCAACCCAAGGAUAACAACCGAUGUGUACAACAAGUCCUCAGGAAUUACAACUUGAAUUCAUACACAAUCAAAACAACGAUAAUCGAGAGCAAAACAGUGCUAUAUAUCAAUAAGAGCAAGCGAUACAGAAUAAACAGUAUACAAGUAUUCAAAAGAGAGAAACUUAACUAUUUGAGACAUUUAACCUCUUUCGAAUAUCAUUAAAACUUUAAUCAUUUAAUACAACUUGCAUUCUUUUUCAAAAUGUAAUACAUCAUAUGCCUCUCAAACUUCACCCUAUACAACAUCUACUCCAAAAUGUUAAAGCAGGUGUGAACUAAUGCAAGUAGGAAAGUAAGCUAUCAACUGAUACCGCUAGGGCGCCAAGCCCUUGCCGCGAUCCGUCCCGCUCAGUCGGGCGCUCGAACUAGCACCUGCAAGUGGGGGUGUGAGAACUACGAAUAGUUCCCAGUGGGUUCGGCCGCCGACUCCGCCGAUCUACCACUAGGUCUUAAGCAGCAUAGAGAGAUUAAAUAUAUGCGCGAUAUAUAUAAGCUAAACUGAACUGAAGCGGGUAUGUAAAACAGUCUAUCAAGCUAUGCCUCAAUCUUAUAUCAUGGAUGCAUGAAAAAUGAGUAAGCUGGGUAAGUAAGGCAACUAUAAUAAAAACAGACACACUAUGAAAGCUAGCUAUCAUGAGCAAUAAUAAUGAGCAUGACUUCACAUUAGGUAACCAAAUUUCAAGGUGAACUCAUGGUUCAAAGCACUAACUCACAUGUAAAUCUUAUAGGAAAAGUCUCACUGAACUACUCCCCGAGACCGCCUGCGGACAUCACACUGACAGUCCUGACAGCAUACUGAUUGUCUCUCUAGUGACCAACCUCCGGAGUGCACAGCUUGUGGGGAGCGACCCCUCCAAGCGCAGACAGGCUAUGUGAGCACGAUCAACUCACGAACAGCAGCAACCACCCUCUAAGGGUAAUCUCAAUCAUGAAAUCAAGGUAUAUUUGUACCCAAUCUCAUAGUGUCUCAACUACACUAAUGUUCUCAUAUCAAGGUCAUCAACAAUCAUAUGCCACUCAUCAUAGUUUUCUAACUAGAUGCCACUCGUCAUUUAGACUCAUCAUCAAUACUAGUUACAUCAUACUAGUUCUUUAGCAAUAUAAGUAUUAAUCAUCUCACAUAGGGUCUAGGUCUUUAUCAUAGAGUUUUCAUCAUAUAAUCAUCAUGCAUACUAGAUCAUGAACCAACCAAGCAAGAUACAUUAAGCUACUAGCAUGCAAUAAGCGACAAUCCAUCUCUAGCCCUAUAUGAAUAUGCACAAUAUGCCAAUAGAUCAACUUUUAAAACUUAGACAUAGAAGGUAGUCCGGUUGCUUCGGGAUGGUCACCACCCACCUCGUGGUAGUACCGUAGAGCUACUAAACUCGGCGUCGCGGUCCACGUGCGCCGCUUCAACACCUCGGGUCAAAACAAACCCUAGAGCACUCGAAUCGGCGAUAUCCCCGCACUCGCUCGACGGAUCGACGAACCGUCUUCGCCUACGCAUUUGGGAGCAUAGAAAUUAGGUUUCUAACCCAUCAAAAGAGAUCAAUCCCUCGUAUUUCCAAAAAUUCCAAAAUCAAGCCCUAGGUUUAGCACCCAUGGGAAGCAAUGGUUUCUAACUUCAUUGUGAGCUAAAUCCAUAUUCUCUAAGCUCAUUAGGUUCCAUUUGAACCAUCAAAACCAACAAAAACCUUCCAAAACCCUAGAUUCACAAGUUAGAGUUGAGGCUUACCUCUAGGGUUUGCUCUAAAGCAAGCCCUAGCUUGAAAACGUGGAGGGAGAGAGGUUUGUUUCCUUCUCCUUGAUCUUCUCCUCCUUUUCCUUCUUCCCUUCUCCUUUUUUCUCUCCUUCUUUCUUCUUUUCCUUCUUUUCUUCUUCUCACGGUUAGAGAGAGAGAGAGCUAUGUGAGAGGGAGAGAGAGAGGCUAAGUGUGUGAGAGAGAGGCUGAGAGAGGGCUAAUAUCUCUCUAUUGUAACAAUAUCCAAAAGAGCCCCUCAACUUUUCUAUUUUCCAAAGUCACCCUACUAUUCAGGUGCCCUUGUACCGGUACACGGUUUCUUGUACCAGUACAAGGCCUGGGUGACAGCCAGAUCGAGCGCAAACCCGAGAGCUCGGGUCUCGGUUUCGUCGGGUUUAUACCGGUACAAGCCCCUUGUACCGGUACAGCACCUGGAGCCCUCCAAAACCCGAGAGCUGCGAUGGCUGUACCGGUACAGCCAUCACCCUUGUACCGGUACAGCAGCUCCAGAAUACUGUUUUUACUUUGUUUCGGCUCCACUUCACGCCGAUCGAUGUCAAAACCAUUCAAACACCUUUGAAACUCAUUUUUGCUCUUCCAAACUUGUUGGAAUGCCUAAUAGAACUUGUCCAAACCGCUCAAUCGCCCACUUUGGUCCAUUUGGCCAAACUUAGCCAAUAUCGUCGAAUUUCGAUAUCUCACAUUCUCCACCCCUUAAAAGGAGUUUCGUCCUCGAAACAACUAACUCGCAACUUGAACUUAAACUCUUACCUCAAUCUCUAAACAAGUGAGGAUGAUUCGCUUUCAUCUGGUCCUCGAGCUCCCAAGUGGCUUCGCGAUCGUCGUGAUUGCUCCAUCGGACUUUAACAUAGGGAAUUUCUCGAUUCCUUAGCUUACGCACCUCUCAAGCCAAAAUCUCUACCAGAAACUCUUCAUACCUCAUAUCAUCUUGAAGUUCCGGCGGCUCAUAUAGCAUCGCAUGCUCGGGGUCGUGAAUAUACUUGCGGAGGUUGGAGACGUGGAAGACAUUGUGCACACCCGCAAGCUUCGGGGGCAAUGCAAGUCGGUACGCCACCGUCCCAAUUCGCUCCAAGAUCUUGUAGGGGCCAAUGUAACGAGGACUUAGCUUUCCUCGCACCCCAAACCGCUUCACACCUCGCAUUGGUGAAACCUUCAGAAAUACGCGGUCACCCACCGCGUACUCUAUAUCUCGCCGGCGUCUAUCCGCAUAGCUUUGCUGUCUCGACUGCGCCGUGAGCAAUCUUUUGCGAGCAAGGCGGACUUUCUCUUCCGCUUCUCGCAACACAUCUGGGCCGAACUCCGCACGCUCACCUACAUCGCUCCAGUGUAUAGGAGAUCAACACGUCCGCCCAUAGAGGGCCUCAAACGGUGCCAUCAUCACACUAGCAUGAUAACUAUUAUUGCAGGCGAAUUCGGCCAUCGGUAGAUGUUUACACCAACCGCCCUUGUAAUCAAUAACACAUGCUCGCAGCAUAUCCUCCAGAGUUUGAAUAGUUCUCUCUGUUUGUCCAUCGGUCUGAGGAUGAAACACGGUGCCAAAGUCGAGCCGUGUGCCAAGGGCUUCCUGCAUGCUCUUCCAGAAAUGCGAAGUGAACCGGGGGUCACGAUCAGACACGAUCGAUUUCGGCACCCCAUGCAGUCUCACUAUCUCGUCAAGGUAUACCUGCGCUAACUUGUCAUCCGACCACGUGGUAUGGAUCGGCAAGAAGUGAGCCGACUUCGUCAAUCGGUCCACAAUUACCCAAAUUGCAUCGUGGCCGCCCUUUGAGCGAGGUAAGCCGACCACGAAGUCCAUCGAUAUAUCCUCCUAUUUCUAAACGAGGAUUGGUAGGCUGUGGAGCUUUCCCGCGGGGAAUCGAUGCUCAGCCUUCACUUGUUGGCAUGUUAGGCACUUCGCCACAAAGCGUCCGAUGUCGCCUUUCAUUCCCGGCCACCAGAAGAGUAUUUUUAGUCCUUGAUAAAUCUUGGUGCCGCCCGGGUGAUUAGCAUACGGGGACCAAUGCGACUCCUGGAGUAUAAGCUUGCGAAGCUCCUCAUCAGCAGGUACACACCUUCGGUUCCGAAACCGAAGCAUACCGUCGGCGUCAACAUUGAACUCGCCACCAUGACCUUCCUCGAUGUUUCGCCGCACCUUUUGGAGUUCUAGGUCCGCAGGUUGCAGAUCUUUGAUCCUUUCCAACAAGGUCGGUUUGACAACGAGUGCCAUCAACUGAGUCGGAACCUCGGGAGCGACCACUUCAAGGUCCAAUCGCUCCAUAUCCAGCCAUAGGGGUGUUUGCUGGGUAACAUCAAAAGCGAGGUUCUCCGCCGUCUUCCUACUCAGCGCAUCCGCAACCACAUUUGCCUUCCCGAGGUGGUAAAGGAUAUCAACAUCAUAAUCCUUCAAUAGCUCCAACCACCACCGCUGAAGCAUACUGAGCUCUUUCUGUGUGAACAGAUACUUCAGGCUCUUAUGGUCGGUGUAGAUCUCGCAAUGAGCACCAUAUAAAUAAUGUCUCCAAAUCUUCAAGGCAAAGAUCACCGCCGCCAACUCUAGAUCGUGAAUGGGGUAGUUCUUUUCAUAGCUCUUCAGCUGACGGGAUGCAUAAGCGAUAACCUUCCCGCCCUGCAUCAGCACACACCCCAAGCCCAAAUAAGAAGCAUCACUGUAGACGACAUAGUCCUGUCCUUGCACCGGUAAAGCGAGUACCGGAGUCGAAGUUAACCUUUGCUUCAACUCUUUAAAGCUCCGGUCACACUCGUCGCUCCAAACAAACUUGAUGCCUUUUUGGGUCAAACGGGUAAGUGGAGUCACAAUCUUCGAGAACCCCUCCACAAACCGUCGAUAAUAACCGGCUAGGCCCACAAAACUACGGACCUCGGUAACAUUCGUCGGGCGCGGCCAAUUCUCUAUAGCCUCCACUUUCCUCGGGUCAACUGAGACUCCACCCUCGGAAAUAACAUGCCCUAGAAACGCGACCUCUCGAAGCCAAAAGUCGCAUUUCUUCAGCUUUGCGUACAACUUCUUCUCCCGAAGGAUUUGAAGUACCGUUCGCAAAUGCUCCGCGUGCUCCUCGUCGCUACGCGAAUACACCAAAAUGUCGUCUAUAAAGACCACAACAAAUCGGUCCAAGCACUCCUGGAACACUCGGUUCAUCAAGCUCAUGAACGCUGCCGGGGCAUUUGUAAGCCCAAACGGCAUCACCGUGAACUCGUAGUGUCCAUAACGCGUGCGAAACACCGUCUUCUAAACAUCUUUCGGCUUGAUCUUUAACUGGUGAUAGCCGGAUUGAAGGUCGAUCUCAGAAUACACUCGCGACCCCUGCAACUGAUCAAACAAGUCAUCAAUAUGGGGUAGCGGGUACUUGUUCUUCACCGUGACCUUGUCCAACUCGCGGUAAUCCACGUAGAGUCGAAAAGAUCCAUCUUUCUUGCGCACAAAUAAUACCGGGGCACCCCACGGCGAAACGCUCGGCCUAAUGAAUUCCUUGUCGAGAAGAUCCUGCAAUUGAUCUCUCAAGUCCCUUAGCUCGGCCGGCGCCAUGCGAUAGGGGCUAUAGAAAUCGGUGCGGUGCCGGGAACCAAGUCAAUCAUGAACUCGAUCUCCCGGUCCGGCGGCAUACCCGGUAACUCCGUGGAAAACACGUCGGGGAACUCCCGUACAACCGCCAACUCCUCGAGGGUUGGAACCGCUCGAUCAAUCUCCACAACGGUCGCCAAAUAAGCUGUGCAAUCGCUGUUCACCAGCUUCCUCGCUCUAGUCGCCGAUACCGUCGCGGCGAAGCACAAGCUCUUGCAAGCUCGAUAGGUGAACUCUUCUGGACCCGACUCCCGAAAUGUGAUAACUCGAGUCGGGCAAUCAAUCGACACAUAGUACUUCGAGAGCCAAUCCAUGCCCAAUAUGACAUCGAACUCCUUCAACCUUUUGAGCACCAACAAGUCGAUCGGCAUAACCCAGUCAUUCACUUGCACUGGACAUGCAAAGCAUCACUUCCUAACCAAAAAGGAUCGCCCGGGGCCCUCAACAUGCCAAACAUGCUCUCCAAGACAAUACUCAAUAUCAUGCGCUCGUGCAAAUGAUCGGCUAAUGAAUGAGUGUGAUGCGCCUGUAUCAAAUAAAGCUCUAGCUCGAACAUCUUUAACCAAAAUUAUACCUGCCACAACGUUGCGCUCACCGGCCACAGAAGGCUCCUCAAUGUGCACGGGUGCAGAAUACAUCCUCCCGCUCGACGCAGAUCGUGCAGGCUCCGGUUGGCGUGGCGCUGCCGCUCGCCCAGUAGAUACUGCAAGAGGGGGCAGAGCAUAGCGAGCUAGAACCGCCGGGGCCGAUGCAGUUGACAUAGCGGGCAAAGCUCCUCCCUGAGGACAGUCGCGGAUGACAUGCCCUGCUUGCCUGCACUUGAAGCACCUCCCACGGCGAUGCUCACAUACACCCGGUCGGUGGUCCCCGCCGCAAAAGACGCAUCGCACUGCACCACGACCCUUAGGCUGAGAGCGUGGAUACUUCGGGGGCCUCUUGGAGCUAGACUGUCCCCCCGAGCCACCGCCCUGCCUCUUCUUGCCUUUAUCCUUGUCGAACGCCUCACGAUCCUCACGCUCGCAAGCGUUCCCGUGCUCGACCCAUAAUGCGCGGUAUAAUGCCCCCGCCAAAGUGUGGAACUUGAAGGCAUGCACCAACUUGAAUACUCCGGGCCAGAGUCCUCGAACAAAACAAUCCCCCCGGUUCUGCUCUGUCGUCGCCACGUCCGGGACACAACUCAGGAGAUGGGUGAACUCCCGCUCGUACUCCCGAACCGUGCGGUUGCCUUGCUUGAGCUUGCGAAAAUCUUCCCGCAUCUUUCUCUUAUCACUGUCGGGGAAGUACUCGGCGAACAUCAGCUUGCGGAACUCCGCCCAAUCGAUCGGGGGAAGCUCCGGGGAUCGGUCCUGCUUGACCCUCUUCCACCAAGUCCUGGCCCGCUUUUCAAAGCAAUGAGCGGCCAAGUUCACCUUGUCCUUCUCCAAGGUGAAGAUAUCCUCAAAUAGAGUCUCUAUAGCUGUCAGCCAAGACUCCACCGUCGUUGGAUCCACCACCUCUCCGUCGAAGGUAGGCGGGCGAAACUUCGUGAACCUCGUGAGCACCACGUAGCCGCGCUCACGCUCCGCCUCCCAGCCGCCACGCUGCGGGGUAGGUAGAACUCGAACUAGCCUGAAGGAAUAUCCCACCGGUCGGGGUUAGCGCGAACCACCUCGGAAACCGAACAAGUCGUCCAACCCGCCCCCUCCGGCCGCAUCAGGGCAGCGAGCCGAAGGCGCAGGCGACCGCGGCCCUAGACUGUCGCCCGCAGCCGCCGCCAUAUUGCCUGCUGCUCCCAAAUAUCUCCUGGAGCCUAUCAAACCCGUUCGUGCCACGCGCAAAACUGCGCGUCGCCAACUCCUGCAGCCUCAUAGGUCCAGCUGCCCGGCGCCACUGAGGCACCGCUGGACUCGGGCACCUCUUGAGUGUGCGAGCGGGUCCGAGCUAUCACUAGCGUCUCUUUGGUAGCCACGUCCGAAACGCAAACAGUUUGUCCAAGUUACUUAGAGCCCAACAACAUGUCGUUCAUUACAAAUCAUAACGAUUUAACGACCAUCAAUCAGGCGAUAGCUUGCCAAAUGUCCUUAUUCUCGACUUUCGGCAUCGUGUUUUCGGCGCCCCGCCAACACAAUACACUCAAACCAAAAAAUUUAAUGACACUUGGAUCAUCUCUAGCCAUAACCUAGAGUACACAAUAACCAACUCCCAAACCCAAUCAUUUAUUCCGCCGUCAUAUUGGUUCACCAGUCGCACAUCACCACUGUAACCUUAGUUAAUCCAACACUAGGAGUCACUAGUCAUCCUAGACUCUCUCCCUUUGCCUUGCUCUUACUAGCUCUUAUACACACUGGUCACGCCCACAACCGCAAGCCACAAAUACGGUACCCAAAUUGUACGUUUUCGUGGCGUGGCGUUGGGUGACAGUUGGGUGAUGUCACUCACCCACCUCGUGGUAGUACUCGUAAGCUACAAACUCGCGUCGGCGGCUCCCACAGGCGACGCUUCAGAAACACUGCCUGCGGUCAGAACAAACCCUAAGAGCACAUGCGAAUCGGCAUAUCCUCCACACUCGCUCGAGCGGAUCGACGAACAGUCUCGCCUAACACGUUUGGGACAUUAGAAAUUAGGUUUCUUAACCCAUCAAAAAAUGCAAGUCCUCAUAUUCAAAAACCCAAAAUCCAAGCCCUAGUUUAGCACCUAUUGGGACGAAUGGUUUCUAGCGCUUCAUUGGAGGUAAUCAUGUCUUUUAGCCUCAUUAGGUUCUAUUUGAAACCAUUCAAAACCAUAAAACGCUUCCAAAACCUAGAUUCCAAUUAGGGUAUUUGAGGCUUACCUCAUAGGUGUUUGCUCCAAACCAGGCCCUAGCUUGAAAACGUGGAGGGAGAUAGUUUGUUUCCUCUCUCAGCUUAUCUUCUCCCUUUUCCUUCUUCCUUCUCCUUCUUUCUCUCUUAUCGUCUUCUUCUUCCUUCUCCUUGAUUUUUCUUCCUUCUCACGUUAGGAGAGAGAGCCUAUGUGAGAGGGAGAGAAGAGGCCUAAGAUAUGAGAAGAGAGGCCUGAGAGAGGGCUUAAUAUCACUCCUAUUGUACAUAUCCAAAGUAAGUGUCACUCGCCGCGCGCCGAUUUUGGAGAAGUCAUUUUUAAAAACCAGUUGCCCGGAAAUACGUGCCAUUUUUUUUUUUUUUUUUCACCUGGCCCAUCGCGAACGUAAACAGACCGCGCCACAAAUACAACGUUCCUCUGUCCACUCGGACAAGUCUCUUUGUAUUUGUCACGGCGUACCAGCUAUACAACAGGAACAAUCCCACAACCUACUAAUUAUCAAUCAACAAUCGCAAUUAAUGAUAGGCAAUUUCCAACAGGCUAAACAAUUUUAAAGAUAAUGCAUGUCUUUAAGCACUCCUUAGGUCCACUGGAAUAAUCCAAUGCACAGUACACAAUCAUCCUAUUUAAAAGUGCUUCCCACACGGAAGGCUUUUUGUUUAACUCAAAUUCCAUUCACAUAAACUACGCAUUUGCGAAAACGCUUUUUAAAACUGUUUCCCAUACUACGGAAACUCUAUUUGAAAAAAGCUACUCGAGGGUAGAAACGCAAAGCUUAUAAAUCCAAAUCUAGAAACCAAGGAUCUCAAAACCAGCAUAAUUGAAAACUCGCAAUCUCAUGUAUAGAAAACAUUCAUAAUCUCCUGCAUACGAGAAAACAACUCAUUCAACAAUCAUAAGAUCAUCUCUAAUAGCAUAACGGCAAACCACAACAUUCAAAACAUCUAACUGAACCGUUUAUUUAAAUACUAUAAAGCCUGGAAAGAAAUACACACCAGGGUGUGCGAUCGCUAAACGCAGAGCUAGCUAGGAUUCGUCUCUCGUGUCGUAGCCCAAAAUCCACUCCUCGUCUAUCUGUCAGCGGGGGAAAAUGCGGGUGAGAAACCGCAACCAUGGUUUUCUCACGUGGGUACGACAGACCACGAAGGCAUAGCCGUAUCACCGAAACCAAAGGAGAAGAUGAACAAUAUAGGAUGCCUGAUAUGAAAAGUCUACACCUAGCUACAACAGAUAAAUAAGCAAGCAAUAAACAAACCGCUUACCUGAUAAGAUAACAAAUCGCAAAGAUGCUCAAAGUACUGAAUAGAAACUGUAGUCCCAACUGUGCUUGGAAUGUAUUGGUCCCCAGACCCUCAAAGCGCUGCCCGCUGUCACUCUAACUGCACCGACAUCUGAUCAUUCCGCCCCGCAGGACGAUCCUUUAUCCGAUAAGUACAACCUCCGAUCGUGCUCAACAGAUCCUUUCAUGAAAUACCCCUAAGUGCCGGUGACUAAGUCCAUCUGUAUGUCUCAAAACAAAAAAAAACCCGGCUAACCGGUGCCUGGCCGAAGCCAACAACGAGUCAUAUUACAAUGCCAACUAAUAGAAGUUAGGCGACAAAGCCGAAACCUCGAUCAACCGUAUCGAAACAACACGACAAGAGAGUCGAUUGUUCGCCUGAACUUAAGUCCACAGAGAUACUGAAAAUACAAAUGCACGCCUGCUCUACCAAUUCUAUCAACACUAAACCAAUGCAGCUCAACGAAAUACGAUAAGCAAACAUAACCAAACAACUGACUGUAGAGCUAAAUAUACUGAAUAAGAAAAACAGGAGAAUGGAGGUGAAAUACGCUCGCCUCACCGACUACCUCAAGCUCGAAUCACUCACCUUCACAUGUCGGUCGAAGAUACGCUGGGUACAGCACAGCGCUAACGAUCCUAAAAAUCCAGCAAGUCAAGAACCAACACUACACAUACCAAAGCACGAGACUUCACAAAGCUCCCACACACAGAUCCCCGUAAUUCGGUUCUUCAAAACCGAUUACUCGUAACUCACCGGACAGUCCCGAAAACCACAACCGAACUCGUCGGACCACUAAGUGUCCGCGAACUCACCCGACUCGGCCAACAUCACCCCGCUGCCCUCAAAGCAUAACCAAUUUGGAUGCCUGCAGCAGACACGGAGUUAACACAACCAUAAAUCAUCCGCCCGAUAAUCGUAACGAAUUCGGGUUUCCCGAGUGCUAUUUCGACACCGAACCACCGUCGCUCACACCAUUCAUCCAUCGACCAAAACAAAAUUGAUGAUGUGACCAGCCAACAAGGCUCAGCGACAAAACACGAAGCAACCAAACACCGUCGGAAAGAAUCCGAACCGAAACCGCGUUCUUUCGGCGAAUUUCGCCGAAAAACGCACCGAAAUCGACCUACCGAUUUUCGCGGGAGCUAACGGAUCAUGGACAAUCAAUCGAGAGGUCAGACACACUUACACACGCUGCCCACGGUAGCCACACAAUACACAAAUGCAUAAAAGACCCUCUAAUUACAUAAAAUCUCAUCAUUUUAUGUAAUUUGAGCGAUCAAGCGGCUCGUGCAUGCAAACCAAGGACUUCCGAAGUCCGCAGAGACACGUACUGACAGGUCUCGACGUACUGGAGUCCGUGCUCACGAUCCGGAGCACAGCGGCUCGCUGUGGGAAGCGCGGGAGCAACCCAAAGGUUCAGCGAAAAGCGCGCAGUCGGGGAAGAUCGCGCCAAACAGGGCUAACCGGACACUGCUGAUCCAAAGUGAGGUGAGCACUAUGAUCAGCACUGACCAACGAUCACCGUGCUCACCUCCGGAGGCAUCAGGACAUCCUCGGAUCGCCGGAUAAGCGUGCGCAAACCCAAAACAGCAGCCAAACAGGCUCGACAGGGUCGACACCGCCGAAACAGCGGAACGGAGUCUCCCCGGCAGAAUCUAAGGUGAGCACGAUGAUCAGCAAUUUGCUACGAUCAUCGUGCUCCCUUCCGCAGAGAUCGGGGAGACUCAGGAAGCUCAGAACACAAACCCGUCCAAAAUAAGCCCUAUUUCGGGCUUGGCCGGAGCAAGCUUGCUCCGGCCGGCUUNNNNNNNNNNNNNNNNNNNNNNNNNNNNNNNNNNNNNNNNNNNNNNNNNNNNNNNNNNNNNNNNNNNNNNNNNNNNNNNNNNNNNNNNNNNNNNNNNNNNNNNNNNNNNNNNNNNNNNNNNNNNNNNNNNNNNNNNNNNNNNNNNNNNNNNNNNNNNNNNNNNNNNNNNNNNNNNNNNNNNNNNNNNNNNNNNNNNNNNNNNNNNNNNNNNNNNNNNNNNNNNNNNNNNNNNNNNNNNNNNNNNNNNNNNNNNNNNNNNNNNNNNNNNNNNNNNNNNNNNNNNNNNNNNNNNNNNNNNNNNNNNNNNNNNNNNNNNNNNNNNNNNNNNNNNNNNNNNNNNNNNNNNNNNNNNNNNNNNNNNNNNNNNNNNNNNNNNNNNNNNNNNNNNNNNNNNNNNNNNNNNNNNNNNNNNNNNNNNNNNNNNNNNNNNNNNNNNNNNNNNNNNNNNNNNNNNNNNNNNNNNNNNNNNNNNNNNNNNNNNNNNNNNNNNNNNNNNNNNNNNNNNNNNNNNNNNNNNNNNNNNNNNNNNNNNNNNNNNNNNNNNNNNNNNNNNNNNNNNNNNNNNNNNNNNNNNNNNNNNNNNNNNNNNNNNNNNNNNNNNNNNNNNNNNNNNNNNNNNNNNNNNNNNNNNNNNNNNNNNNNNNNNNNNNNNNNNNNNNNNNNNNNNNNNNNNNNNNNNNNNNNNNNNNNNNNNNNNNNNNNNNNNNNNNNNNNNNNNNNNNNNNNNNNNNNNNNNNNNNNNNNNNNNNNNNNNNNNNNNNNNNNNNNNNNNNNNNNNNNNNNNNNNNNNNNNNNNNNNNNNNNNNNNNNNNNNNNNNNNNNNNNNNNNNNNNNNNNNNNNNNNNNNNNNNNNNNNNNNNNNNNNNNNNNNNNNNNNNNNNNNNNNNNNNNNNNNNNNNNNNNNNNNNNNNNNNNNNNNNNNNNNNNNNNNNNNNNNNNNNNNNNNNNNNNNNNNNNNNNNNNNNNNNNNNNNNNNNNNNNNNNNNNNNNNNNNNNNNNNNNNNNNNNNNNNNNNNNNNNNNNNNNNNNNNNNNNNNNNNNNNNNNNNNNNNNNNNNNNNNNNNNNNNNNNNNNNNNNNNNNNNNNNNNNNNNNNNNNNNNNNNNNCCAGUAGUUCCAGAAUAGCUGAACCGGUCGAAACGAGCUAUUGGACUGCUAUGAACAGAGUCCGGUACCAGCCAGAAGCCAACUUCUCACCGCGGCUUCUCCGGAAAAUCGAAUUACUAUUCACUUUAAAUGAAACUUGGAAAUCGCGUAGAAUUUUCGUUUUAACUCGUUUUCGCCCGAAACUUGACGAGUGCUUUUGUAAUUAAAUUACACACAAAAACAUCGUCAACUGAGAGUUUAGCUACACUGCAAAAAUCUCAGUCCUUACAAAGAGCCCCUCAACUUUUCUAUUUUCCAAAGUCACCCCUGCUGUUCGGGUGCCCUUGUACCGGUACAUGGUUUCUUGUACCGGUACAAGGCCUGGGUGACAGCCAGAUCGAGAGCAAACCCGAGAGCUCGGGUCUCGGUUUCGUCGGGUUUGUACUGGUACAAGCCCCUUGUACCGGUACAACACCCGGAGCCCUCCAAAACCCGAGAGCUGCGAUGGCUGUACCGGUACAGCCAUCACCCUUAUACCGGUACAGCAGCUCCAGAAUGCUGUUUUCAUUCUGUUUCGGCUCCACUUCGCGCCGAUCGAUGUCAAAACCAUUCCAACAUCUUUGGAACUCAUUUUUGCUCUUCCAAACUUGUUGGAAUGCCUAAUGGAACUUGUCCAAACCGUUCAAUCGCCCACUUUGGCCCAUUUGGCCAAAGUUAGCCAAUAUCGUCGAAUUUCGAUAUCUCACAAGAGAGGGGCGGGAGAGAGGAGAAUUGAGAGUGGGAGAGAACCGAGGGGGGCCAUGUGCGGGAGGCCCCUACCCCCUGCGUGCGCCGAGAGGGAGAGAGAUACUUCUCUCCCUCCAUCUCUCUAUCUGCUUUCUCUUUCUCUCUCUCCCUCUGCUCUCUCUCUCUCUCUCUCUCUCUUCCCCUCUAUCUAUCUACUCUCUCUCUCCGUUCUCUCUGUCUGCUCUCUCUUUUUCUCUCUCUCUCUCCUCAUCUCUCUUCCUUUCUUGCGCGUGCUGCGGGCGCGGGUCGCCUGCACGUAGCCCCCUCUCCUCUCUCUUUUUCUCUCCCUUUCUCUCUUCCUCUCUCCCUCGCGAGCGUGGAGAAGCGGCCACGUCGGCCACAGGAGAACUCUCGAUUCAAUUUAUCUAUAGAUAGGAUGGCUAGUUCUUUUACGAAUUGUUAGCUUUAUUUAAACAAAAUUUUAAAAUACGCCCAAAUAUCAGAGCAUCAUUAUUUUUAAAAUAUCAUAGCAUCAUUAUCAGAGCAUCAUUAUUUUAUAUUAUAUCAUAUUUUAUUUUACAGCAUUAAUAACUAAAUUCUUCAUUAACUAUAUAAUAUUCUGUACGGUGUAUGAAAAAUUGAUACAUAUCAGGCGCAAGAAAACUUCUCUCUUUCUAAAGUAACAAAGCCACGUUGUCACCCAUUACGUCUUUAACCAAUGGGGGAUCGUCAUAAAUUUUGAUUAAAUUUUUAAAUAAAAUCAUUAGAAUAAUUAAACUCUAUAAAUAAUUAAAUAUUAAUAAGAAGUUAUUUUUUGUAAUUUAUAUAUAAAUUUUUUUUUUUUACUUUUGAUAUAAUUUUUUAUUUUUAAAUUUUUAAUACUAUAUAUUUUAAUUGGCUGAAAUAUAAUAUCUAUUCACUGCGAAACGCUGGCCAUACACUAGUUACCAUUAUUGGAUUGUAUCAUUAGAUUCAAAUUAUUAAGAUAGUAGGUAUUAUAUAUGUUGUCUUGAGUACUAUAUUUUAAGCAUUUAUUGGCGGAUUUGGUGGGGGAGAGAAGUCUAUUCGUCGCCCAUUAUUAGUAUUGGGUUGAGAUCGCGUACUAGUUUUGGUUAUUACGUCGUGAGUCAUUAAUUAAUUGCAUUAUACACUUGGCAAUGCCUCGUUUAGGCAUUUGAGAAUAUUACUUUUCCUUGUGUUUGUCAUCAGGAUAUAUAUUCUGGAAAUUGAUAAUGUGGGAAUUAAGGCAGGAGAGCAAUUUCUUUUUAUGAUUUUUCUUGGGCACACCGACCUUGAUUUUGAUAUUGACAUAAAAGGUUCUCAAUUGGUGUGUAAACAGUGAGGGAAAUGUGUACUUAAAUAAUGUUAUAAUAUAAGCUUUUACUUUGAGAGGUAUAGAUAGUGAGAGGGAUCGAGUGAAGUGAGGAUGGACAUAUUCAAGGGUGUACUGCAUGCAUCUAGGGGUGGAACUGGGCCGGGCUUGGGUCGGAAAAUACUAUGCCCAAGCCCAGCCUAAAAAAAAAUGUUGGGCUUCCGGUAAGAUUUUUACCCAUUUUAAUUUAUUAAUUUUAAUUAUAAUAAAUUAAAAUUAAGAUUUAGAAAAAUAAAUGAUGUGCUUCGGCAAUCUUCACUUCUACUCCGAUAGUAGCAAUCCUAUAAAGUAAAUAAUAAGAUAGAAACUUCUCACGUAAGGGUAAAAUGUUUAAUUAAUUAUGGGAUAUUUGAUUUUUUAGAGGAGCAUUGUGGUAUUUUAAAAUUUUAAAAUUAUCCUUAAAUUAUGUACAUAUAACGUCUAAUUAAUUUUUUUGAAAAUUUUAAAAUAAUAUAUAUUUAGUAAAUGUUAUGUACAUAACUAAUUAGCUAUAUAGAAUAAUAUGUAUCAUAUAUUUAUUCAUAGAUAUGUAUAAUUAAUCAAUUAUAUAUAAUAAUACUAUUUAAUAUAUCAUAAUAUGGAACUAAAUAUUUUCUUAAUAUAUAAUAUAUCCACAUAUAUAUAAAUAUAUAUCAUUAAUAACAAUAUAUAUUAUAUAUGAUAUACUAUAUUAUUUAUUCCGAUAAAUAUUCUAUAUAUAAUUAAAUAUUUUAUUUUGAUAAUUAAUAUAUCGGGCUUUUGGGUUGGGCUCGGGCCGGGUUCGGACAUGCCCAAAUAAGCCCAAAAUUUUUUCGGGCCUAAAUUUUUUAGCCUGGCCCGAACCGGAAGUUAUAUUUUCAAUACCCAAACAUGACCCAUCGGGGGCCGGGCCUUGUUUAGGCCCGGGCCCAGUUCCACAAAAGUAUUUUCUUAAAUACAGAACAUCAAUACAUGAUAAAAAAAUUCUGUUGUUUUCGAUUGACCUUUGAAGGUCGGAUGUAUCCUGGAAGGUAGGAUUGUCGGCUGGUGCUGACGGUAUUCUGACUAUAUCGAAUACACUCCAUGUGCCUAUCGGUCGCUUGCGUUCGUUAACUUUUAGUUGACACACGAGCAUGUACUCCUACAUAUUGAUCCUUUAUUGACUUCUACUACUGGUUGUUCUAUUGUAGUUCUGAUAGGGGUAGAGUAGAAUUGCAUUCGAUAUAUACUAUACUUCUUGUGACCUUGUUGGUCGGUUCUCUAUUAUGGCAUCGGUGACGUGUUUGGUCGUUCGUUACUUUCCGUACUAUUGACACUAUCUCGGCGGUUCACGUUGUUACUUGAUGAGCUAACACGGUCGGUCAUGCCGGAGGGCGGCAGUGAUUAGUCGGCUGAUUCGACGGUGGCAUAAUUGAUCAUAUCCGGCAUUGAUCGCCACAGCUCGAGUGCAUUCACGUACAACAUCAGCGGUUGAUCCCCGCAGUGAGGGUGUUCUUUUCCGGAAAUGGUCGUACAUAUUCCGACCGUGAGCCCAGCGGUGUUUCUUGUGUGCUAGGGUUACAUCCAGGUUGUGGCGGCGAGCAGAUAGUGGCUUUGCUGAGGUCAUUAGGACCGACACGGCGGGUUAGAUUGGCUAUGUUUGUGGAUUUCGUGCCGUUGACGCAAUAUAAGUGUAUGUAGCGGUUGUGUGAUAUAACUCUAGUUUUUCUUAACAGUUGUUCCUUGCUACUAAGUUUUGUAUCCUUGAUGAUGCUUGCAGUUACAUACAUAGCGGUAGUGUGUUUUCAUAUAUAUAUAUCUCGUUCGUUUCAUUAUCCGUUGCUUCUGUAAUUUUACUUACCCAUCUACUGUUUGGUUAGUCUCUUCCUGAUCGCUCGUGAGUACUCUCGCUCUUCUUCGGUUUGCGGUACCCACUGGGAUGGGAGACAUGUUUACAUGUCUCACUCCCCCAUCAUUUUUAAGGUACGCGGGCGAUGAGUAGGUGGGACCGAGACGUGAUGUCUGUUGAGCGGUCGAUUAGAGCUUCCGACCGCAGGUUAUUUCGGAUUUAUUGUUAUCUUGUAUUUCUGUUGAUAAUAUAUUUAGUUGGUUUAUGUGGUUGCAGGUGAUUAUUUACAUUCGAAAAUGCUGAUUUUUUUUGGAUUUGCUAAAAUAAAGUUUUCUUACCCUCGUUAGUAUGCGUUUUUAAAAGAUAAAGGUUUCUGUUGUAGGGAAACAAGCAGUUUCAAAAGGAUUUUUGUGGAUUUACUGUGCUAAUUACCUUGAAUGUAAAACUGUGAUGUGUUAAUGGUGAUGUAUGAAUGUAAUAGUUAUCUUAUAUUCAUUGGUUGUGCGUUGUAUCCUUGAUUUGUACUGUUAUUUGAUCGACGCCGGUGCAAAUACAGGGGGGACUCUGUCCGUAUGUGAACAGUAGCUUCCCUGUAUUGUGGCCGGAUCUGGCAUACUUCUGGGGUCAGAAUUUUCAAAAAAAAAAAAAAAAAAAAAAAAAUAAAAAAAAAUUCAGACGCUGUUUCCGCUUUGUUUUUAAACCUAAAAGGAAGCCCCGGGCGUGCAAAUGGCAAAGAGAAGAAUUAGUUUGGCAAAUUUUUUCAAUAGAAUUAUUUGCUCCAAUUAAAAAAUUUUAUAGAUUAUUUUGAAAUAGAAAGCCUGUAGAAAUUGUUAUCAGCUAUAAUGAUAUGGUGUAGACACAGCUGGCUUCUUUCAUUACUUCAGUGAUUCGAAGGUUUGCUACGUACUAGUACCACUUUAAUUACAAACCAUAAAUUCAUAUUUUAAUUAUUGAUAGUUGGUGCUGUCUCUAUUUGAAAGCUUUUGUCCGUCUAUUAUGCUACAGUUAACGCCAGGUGUGACGGCCGCGAAUUUUAAAUAUUUUUAAAAUAUAUUUAUAUUUUAUAAAGAUUUAUAAGCAUAAUUUACAAUUAGAAUUAAUUUAAAUAAAAUAAUUUACUAUUAAAAUUAAUUAAUUUAAACAAAAGUAAUUUAAACAUAUAUGUGCCUAUCAUAUAUUUAUUGAUAAGGGCUUAUCAAACAAUUCAAAUAAUUAUUAAUGAUAUGAUGGUAACUAAUUUGACUUGAUAAUAUAGUUAUAUAAAUGGAUUAAAAUAAAUUCAAAUACAAGCAAAAGAAAUUAUUAUUAAAAGAAAUAUUUAAUGAUAUUUAAUAAAGUGAUUUUAUCAAAAAUAUGUGUUGAUGGAAAAAAUAAAAAAAAAAAAAUUAGGCAGGAACGAUGAGAAUCUUGGGCGCAUAAACUUACCGGCGGAUUAACUAUAGCCACUCCUGCCAGCUAUUAAAAACAAUCAAUAAUGUGGACUGAAAAACAUUAUUAAAUAGUUAAUUUCGAAAGCCUGUGAAAGGAGUCUUUUCUCUCCUAUUUGAAUAAGAAGACCUUUAUUUUCAAUAUUCCUUUCGUGCAUUUAUUAUUUUUAUUAGAGUAGUCUAUUGUAUUAUUUUCUUUUCGUAUUUACUAUUUUUUUAGUAGUAGUAGAUAGGGUAUUAGCUUUUCUUCGAGAUGGAUGUCAUAGUAGAAUACUUUUGUAGAAUUUUUCUGAUAUUUAAGCAAUAUAUGCAGUAUUUUCUCUCUGCAGUUCAGAACCAGAAAAUUCUGUACAUCUGUACACUCUGCCUGAUCUAGCCGAACGAUUUGUUGUGUUGAAUCGAACUCGGUUUUGGAUCGUCUUCAUUUCAACGAAUCACUUGAUUUGUGGUAGAGUGCAAACUUCUGAAUCAUCAUUCGUUAGUCGUUUAUCUGCUUCGCAUGUAUUUCUUUGAAGUGACGGAUUUUUUGACGUAGCGGUCGAGAUUCAGAUCGCGAGCCAAUAGUAAGAAGAAAAAUCUCUUAUACAGACUAGUUAACAAUUAGAUAAGUUUAUAAAACUAUUAAUAUAAUAAUUAAAUAGAUUUAUAAUAUAAACAAAAAUUGGUUAAAAAUACUAAAAACAGAGAGUGCAAAAGCGAAUAUAAGAGGUUUUGGUGUAAUACAGCUUACGAAAUCAAUUAAAAGACAAAGUUUUAAAAUGAUUUAAAUAAAUUAAUAAAAGUGAUGGAGAUAGGAAAAGUAGAGUAAAUGCUUAGAACAAAUACAAAUGAUGGAGAUGUGAAAUAGGUAGAGUUGUGUCAUUUGAAUGCUAGACAUAAUUUUCAUAAAUUAUAAAUUUGAACUUAAGAAAUUCAGAUCAUAUAGUUUAGAAUACCUAACGCGAUACCAUUAUUAAUUUUGAUCAACACUAGCAUACCGAAUUAUAAUUUUAGAUGACACUAUCUGCUUUUUUUUAUAGAAGGACUGGAAAUAAGCAAUUUAAUUUGCUUCUAGCAUUGUUCAGUUUCAUCUUUGUAAUUAUAAAAAGCAGUUAAAAAAUGCCCUUCUAACGAAUAAGAUGGGGGCAUCUCACAGGAUAUAGAAUUAAUGAGAUAAAAUGAUUCAGAGCGUGCUACAAGAAUUCUCUUAAAAAAAUAAAUUAAUAUAUUAGUUGUUUAUAGAAAGUUUUUCUUAAAUACAGAAUCAAUAAAUGAUAAAAAAACAUUACAUAAAUAUGGAUGCCAGACUAUAAUAUUUUUGAUUGGAUGUUUUUGUUUUUAUCUUUUAUUUUUUAUUUUUUAUCAGAUUACAUAACUAUGUAAUGUUUUUUUUUUUUUUUUUUUUUUUUUUUUUUUUUUUUUUUUUUUUNNNNNNNNNNNNNNNNNNNNNNNNNNNNNNNNNNNNNNNNNNNNNNNNNNNNNNNNNNNNNNNNNNNNNNNNNNNNNNNNNNNNNNNNNNNNNNNNNNNNGAGGUCUAUCGGCGCCGGCAAAGCUCCGGAAAGGGGCGGGAGGGGGAAAGGAUGGAGCGGCGGCGGCGGCGGCGGCGGCGAAUAAUCCGGCGGGGGCGGCGCUGUCGCCGAUCCUGGCCUCGUCGCUAGGGCUGAACCGGAUCAAGACGAGAUCGGGGCCGCUGCCGCAGGAGGGGAUCCGCGGCGAGCACCGGAUCUCGGGGCUCGGGAGCAGCAACCUCUCGAGGGGGCAGGCAGAUGGGGGCGGUGGGUGCUCGACGUCUUCGUCAUCCUCGGCGGCAGGCGGCAUGGGGAAGAAGGACGCGAGGGGGCUCGGGAAGGUCCUGGAGCCGCGCACAGGCUGGAAUGAGGGGCCGGAAGUGACGCCGGAGGCUCAGAUUGGGUUCCAGACGCACGGCAGCAGUCGGAAUUCCGCAAAAACAGGGAGUGGUAUGUCAUUCUGAUGCUAUUCGUGGUUAUCUUGUUUACUUAGAAUGGUGUUAAGAUCAUCUUGAUAAUGCUGAGCACUGGUGCUUUAAAUAAAGUUAUUGGAGUUUUGACUUUUCUCUCGCCGUUAUAGUGCUUAUCUUAGCUCGAAUAUUUACAUACGGUAAUGCAAAAUUUAAUACGUCAAUGCUAAAAUAAUAAGAGGCAUCUCACAAUGUUUCAUAUCAAAUUCAACCAAGACAUAGCAAAGUCUAUUUUAAUCUUGAUUUGGAGGUUAGGAGCAGCAUUAGAGACACGGCUCUAGCUGUAGUUAACGGAGGUACCGUAGUUCGUAUAUCUUUGAUGUUUAAUGGCUUAAUCUUAGCUUAACCCAGGGUGCAAUAUCUAUUUCAAUUUGGUCUUGCCAGAGAUGCACUAAUGUCAAUCCUCAAUUCAAGGCAUUGCUUGUUUGUAAGGAAUAUUAACGAUAAAGUCUUUUAACAAUGUUCAUCGAUCUGAUCGAUCUCAUUAAAGUUGGUUUAUCAGAGAUUAAUAGACUUGAAACAGAACGGCUGUUAGUUUGCUGUUUUCUUUUUCUUUUCUUAUUUUUGAUAAGGUGAUUGGAGUAAAAUGAUUAGAUUGCCCAACGUAAGCCUAUUUAACUUUGUGUUCCUGUUCGAAUCAUUAAAUUUGCCUGUUUAACUUCAUGUUCUUGUGUGAAUCAUUAAAUUAUUCUUGAAAAUAAAGAUGCUGCAAUAAAAAUUACUGGAUUAUCGAGUCCUUCAACUAAUUGGUAAUCUAAAGAAAUAACCGGUCGUUGCAAAUACAAAUGUCGAGGCAUUGAAUCCUCCCUUGGAAGGGUGUCUUAUAAGUUUUCCUAUUGCCAGUUUGACUUUCCUUAAACUGCUUGGUUUGGCCCUUAUGCCGUACUAGUUUUCUCACUAAAUGAUGGAUGUUAACCGCUCUCUAAAUCCAAUAUCUGAUGCUUAGACUCUAUUUUUCAGGGAAGAUUAAUACAUCAUGGAAACUUCCCGAAGAUAUAAAAACUUCUGCCACUUUUACACCAGCUGCAGAGGUGGUGAUACAACUCUAUUAUCCGUAACUACUUGCAAACAAUUAACUCUGAUGAUGACAAAUUGCUUUCUAAAAGAAUCAUCUGACUGAUAAUCUAAAACUUCUGCUUCUACAGUCUCCAUAUGAUCCUUGCGAAACACCUACAGAAUCUGAGUCUCCCCGUUUUAAAGAGAUAAUGCAGGCUACAAGUGCACCGAGAAAGAGGUUCCCUGGGGAUGUAAAAAGCUUUUCGCAUGAGUUGAAUUCUAAAGGAGUUCGGCCAUUUCCAUUUUGGAAGCCUCGAGGCAUAUACAACUUAAAGGUAAUAUUACCUUCCAAUUCUAUUACUCUUGUGUGUGUGUGUGUGUGUGUGUGUGUUGGGGGGGGGNGUGGUCAUGGUCAUGAUCUUGUUCCCAUCACAUUUAGGGCUUGUUUGGUUUAGUUAAAGCUUUUGCAGAAGUGCUUUUAAGACAAUAGUGUAGAGUUGCUUGAAGAAUCAUUAAUGUCGGAACUUUUGUAGAAGUAUUGUUUGAAUACAGCUGCUUGAAAAAGCACUUAUAACCAAGGAUUUAAGUGCCGUGGCACAGGGUCGUGCCGGAAAUUUGUCGGCACGGUGCGUGCCGAUGUGUGCCGGUAAAAAAAAUUCUUGUGUGCCCACACAUAAUAGCAUGAAAUAUUUAUUUUCUUUAGCAACCAAAUGUUUUAACUAUUAAUUAUGUCUUUUUAUUACAUCUUUUGAACUUUGUUUAGCAAAUUACUUACUAAUUUAAAGAAUAGAGAGUUUUGAGCUGUGCCAUCGACAUGGGUCUGUAUCGUGCCGGUAUCUUGUUGGCACGGUAGAUACAGUCCGUGCCGACGGGCACUUAAAACCUUGCUUAUAACACCAUUGUAAUUUACCAACAGCUCCCAUACAUAAUGCAAGCGGCAGCUUCAAAUUGGAGCUUCUGCUUGUGGGACUCUCAAGCUCAUUUCAGCUUUGUGCUCAAGAAAAAGCAUCAACAUUUUGGUUACCAAACUCAUGGUUGCUGCUUCUCUGAGUAGAUAAAUUGCUUGAAAAGCCAAGUCAAAAGCAAUGCUUUGUAGAACACUAUCUUAUAAGUAACUAUCAGCGGUCAAGCUUUAACAACAGUCCUUUUGUUUUCUAAUUCGGUUCUCUUCUAUAUUCUAUGUAUAGGAGGUGCUCAAAGUCAUUCAGGUGAAAUUCGAGAAAGCAAAGGAGGAAGUGAACUCAGACCUGGCUGUUUUUGCAGGGGACUUGGUUGGCAUUAUGGAAAAAUAUGCAGAUACGCAUCCUGAAUGGAAAGAAACGUUAGAAGAUCUGCUGAUACUUGCUCGGAGCUGUUGUGUCAUGACACCUGGCGAGUUCUGGAUCCAGUGUGAAGCCAUAGUGCAGGACUUAGAUGACCAUCGCCAGGAACUUCCUAUGGGGGUACUAAAGAAAUUAUAUACUCGUAUGCUGUUUAUUCUUACUAGAUGCACAAGAUUGCUUCAGUUCCACAAGGAAAGUGGCUUUGCUGAGGAUGAAGUCGUUAUGGAUCUUCGUGAACCUAGAAUUGUACAGUCUGCUGAUAGAAAAAUUUCAGCUGGACCAGCUAUAGAUGGCAAAAGCACUAAAGUUAUAAAGAGCUCCAAUGAGGCAGCUUCCUCAAGAAAAUCUUAUAGUCAAGAACAGCGUAACUUGAAGUGGAAAAGAAGUCAAGAGAUAAAGCCGGUCAAUUUCUUUUCACCACUUGGGGCGGAAAUUGGGAAGGAUAGUGAAUCCCCUGCUAGCAGAGAGCGAAUGGCUUCUUGGAAGCCCUUCCCUUCUCCUGGUGUUAAACAUCAAAAAGCAGCUAGUUCCCUUGCUAAAGAGGAACCAUCAAACAGGGUUGUCGAACCUUCACACUUUACGAGUAAAAGAGAUAUGAUCUCAACCACUAUAAACCCCCCUGAAUUACCUAGUUCCUUAGAUUCUUGUGCUCAACCAUCUAUUGAAACGAAGCAUCAGCACAAAGUUUCUUGGGGUAAUUGGUCUGAUCAACCGAAUAUUUCUGAAGAUGGCUCAAUAAUGUGUCGCAUUUGUGAGGAGCAUGUGCCCACUCUCUAUGUGGAAGAUCAUUCAAAGGUCUGUGCCAUUGCAGACAGGUGUGAUCAGAAAGGUGUAAGUGUUGACGAACGCCUUCUAAGAAUUGCUGAAACCUUAGAGAAGAUGAUAGAGUCUUACCCCCAAAAGGAUCAUCCGAAUGCAGUUGGAAGUCCAGAUGUUGCAAAAGUUUCUAAUUCAAGUGUAACUGAAGAGUCUGAUGUUCUUUCUCCGAAGCUCAGUGAUUGGUCCCGAAGAGGAUCGGCUGACAUGCUGGACUGCUUUCAAGAGUCUGACAACCCUAUCUGUUUUGACGAUCUAAAGAAUUUGCCAUCUAUGACGUGUAAAACUCGUUUUGGACCAAAGUCUGAUCAAGGAAUGGCUACCUCAUCGGCAGGAAGCAUGACUCCUCGGUCUCCUUUGGUGACGCCACGAUCGCAUCACAUAGACGUUCUUUUAGCCGGGAGGAAUGCACUUGCUGAGAGUGAUGAUCUUCCACAGGUUAGAUGCUAUGGGGCUAUCCAAUUCAAACUAAUUGUUGAAUAUCAAUAUUAAAAACAAAACUCUUUGGGAGCUCCAGCUUUCGGAGAAUAACAGUUGUUUCAUAUUCAUUAGCAUGGCCUUGGAGGAGGUCCUAAGUUCGAAUCGAGUAUUGAAUAUAAAUAUUAAAAACACUAUUCUUUGGGAGCUUAAGCUUUUGGAGAAUGACGAUUGUUUCAUAUUCAUUAACACUAAUCAUUUAGUUUCUUAAGAUUGCUAUCUGUGUUUUAUAUAUAGUUCAUGUUCUAGAGUAGGACUGUCAGGAGGAUGACACUGCGCAUAUUUUUUGUGUGUUGGUAGCUUGGUAUUUUUCUUUAUGAAUUUCAUACAUUUCAUAUAUGUAUAUGUAUAUGUAUAUAUAUAUAUAUAUAUAUACACACACAUGUUGGAAUGUUAUAUGCAGGGUGAACUGAUGAACUCUAAUUCUAUCAGCCUGAAAUCCAUUAGUAAGGAAAAUUAUAACUUUACUAGCAGCUCAAAUAUUGAUUGUUGUCUACAACAUUUGAACAAUUCCUGAAAACAUGGCAAUUAGAACAUCUUUAGAGCAGUAUCUGUAACUUAAUGGAACAUUUGUUACUUGGCUGCAUGCUCUGUUACUUUUUUGACUGUGAGUCAGAGACUAUUAAGUUCUGAAGUAGGGCUCAAUGGACUUUCUUGAUAUCAAACAGUGCAUUAGUGGAAGGGGUCAAAUAAAAAACCCUUUAGAUAUUUAUUCCAAAGUGGUCUAUAGUUGGGAGAAACAUGUACAUUUUCUCCUAUCUAGUAGGAGAGUCUAGCUAUUAUCCUUUUAGGAGGGUGUAGGUUUUCGUGCUUCUAGGUCAUUUUCUAUAAUUGGGCAACCUAAUUGCCAACCAAUACGGUUAAACAUGAUCUAGAGUAUUUAGAGUAUCUUGGAAUUGAGUUUUAUGAUUUUAAAAAUUAUUUGGUUUUGUGCAUCAAAUGGCUACGAAGUGAAAAAUCAAAAUCGAAUAACCUUAUAAAAGUAGAGGCUUGAAAGUUUUUAAUUCAGAUAGGGCUUGUUGAUUGUGAUCCAGAUAGUAAAAGGAAUUUACUAAAGAAGUUCAAUUGAUUUGGGUUCUUUUAUAUCAUUAAACAAGCAAAUGGCUCAUAUAGGCCAUAAAAAAGCUAUUGAUUUUGAGGCCUUACAAUCACUUCGUAAAUUGUUUUAAAAAAUCACAAAAUUUGGUUCUAAUAUAGUUAAAAUACUUAGAUCAUGAUUGAUGGUGUUAAUCGUUGAUUGGAAUUCUUUGUCAUCAUAAAUGGCUUGACAGGACGAAAGGAUGUGUCCUCCUAAAAGGAUAGUAACUAGACACACGUAUGUGGUUGUCAAUGAUCCAUAUUUUAUCCUAUUCACACUAUUGUAUUUGAUUUUAACACACUUGCAGCAUGGGUAGCGUCAAUUUUGUUCGCUUCACAUCUUUUCUGACAACCACAUUCCCACUUGCUUAAUUUAGAUGAUAAAUUCGCAGCGACCUGAGGGGCCUUGUUCAAAAUAUCCCAUAAUACAGAAGCUACCGUAACCAAUUCUUUUUGUUGUGUAUAGCCCUCAAUUAUACUGUUGGCUUUUCUUCAAGCUCUUUGUUCCUCUAUCUUACCUGCAUAUUGUCUUAUCUGACGCCAAACUUUUUUGUUUUUAUAAAACUUUGCCAUGUUAACACGGAUCUAUUAGAGUUGCCAACUAUAUGCUUGUUGUAGAACACCGGGCUUUCAAGUUGAUUUUUUUCAAGACAUUAUUAUGAGGAAAAUGCGUCACUUUCCCAGAUGGAUUGGCUUCUAUGAACUACUGUUUACAGUGGAGAAGUUCCAUACUAAACCGCCAUAGCAUUGGUGAUUAGGUACUCAGGUACUCAGUUGUGUUGCCUCCUAUCCUGGGUACAAUCCUGGGCUGUUCUUAAAAUGGGAAUGUGUACUUAUGGGCUGGGGAAGCCUAGUGCUGUUUCAAACAAAAGGAGGGAAAAAAAAAAACCAAUAAUGAUUUUUUGGCUACUUCAAUAGCUCUUGAGGUCAAUGCUUCCUAGUAUGCUAAAUUCCAACGGCAAGUGUUUUUAAUUUUAGUGAUCCUACAUAUGGUUUACUUUGACACAAGCUACAGUACUUUUAAAUGC